AUAAACUAACAAUGGUUGAUUUAGUGAGUGAAUGAGUAGUAAUAUAU
rnacentral:guide_RNA from 1 species